GGAAGGCAUAAAAUUCCUAUUCGCAUGCAAAUAUUUUAUUUUCUUUCUAAAUGUUUUGUUUUUUUUUUGUCUUUUUUUUUCACAUAUCUGUAAUUGUUUUACUUGUAUGGCGACAAAAAAGUAACCAGAACCUCCAUGCACGGAAGUAGUUCAACAGAAAGAAGACCAAGCGCAAGACCACGUCCCAACACACCGACCCCAAAUGAGGAAGCCACCAGUUUGGUUGAGACUAUGAGCAUUUAAGUCAGCAGAUCAUUACAACAACACCAAAUAAUGGUCCCGCGGUCAAGUGUCCAUUAAUUCAAAAGGAAGGAGAGGGAUGUUAUAUUAAUCAUAAUCUCAUAUGAUUAGUUGUUCACAGACAAGAACCUCAGCUAUGACCAAUAGUACUUUUUGAUCAUCCUGGACUUACAGUCAUAUGUUUCAUUCUCUUAGC